rnacentral:rRNA from 1 species
CAGUCGCCGCGGGAAUACGGAGGGAGCUAGCGUUGUUCGGAAUUACUGGGCGUAAAGCGCACGUAGGCGGCUUUGUAAGUUAGAGGCGAAAGCCUGGGGCUCAACUCCAGAAUUGCCUUUGAGACUGCAUCGCUUGAACACGGGAGAGGUGAGUGGAAUUCCGAGUGUAGAGGUGAAAUUCGUAGAUAUUCGGAAGAACACCAGUGGCGAAGGCGGCUCACUGGACCGUUGUUGACGCUGAGGUGCGAAAGCGUGGGGAGCAAACAGGAUUAGAUACCCGUGUAGUCCCUGUCUCUUAUAC